rnacentral:rRNA from 1 species
CCUACGGGAGGCAGCAGUGGGGAAUAUUGCGCAAUGGGCGAAAGCCUGACGCAGCAACGCCGCGUGAGGGAUGACGGCCUUCGGGUUGUAAACCUCUUUCAGCAGGGAAGAAGCGAAAGUGACGGUACCUGCAGAAGAAGCACCGGCUAACUACGUGCCAGCAGCCGCGGUAAUACGUAGGGUGCAAGCGUUGUCCGGAUUUAUUGGGCGUAAAGAGCUCGUAGGCGGUUAGUCACGUCGGAUGUGAAAUCCCGGAGCUUAACUCCGGGCCUGCAUUCGAUACGGGCUGACUCGAGUAUUGUAGGGGAGACUGGAACUCCUGGUGUAGCGGUGAAAUGCGCAGAUAUCAGGAAGAACACCGGUGGCGAAGGCGGGUCUCUGGGCAAUUACUGACGCUGAGGAGCGAAAGCGUGGGGAGCAAACAGGAUUAGAUACCCUGGUAGUCCACGCCGUAAACGGUGGGCGCUAGGUGUGGGGACCCUUCCACGGUCUCCGUGCCGCNGCUACGCAUAGUCGCCCGCCCGUCGGGAGGUACGGCCGCCGACGGACGUAAACCGUAACGAAACGGAAAGUUAAGGUACGGCGUUGAGACGUUGCCGAACGGCGACCGACCGAGGGGAGGAGG